GGGGCAGUUUCAGGGUUGUGACUUCUGCUGCUGUGAUUUUUACGAACACUAGAAGCUGCUAUGUGGACUGAUGUUUAGCUGUGACUGGCCACUAGGUGGAGCCCUUGAGCCAUCUCUCCCCCAGGCUCCAUUGCAAGCAGAUCCAGCCUGAGGGACACUGGCAUGAGGUGCAAGGGUCUGGGUGUAUGAAAAGGUUAGGGGGCUGCUCCAGGGACCCUCUAAGCUGCCUUCACUCAGCUAUUGAGCUGGGCCAUGGAGGGGGCUGGGGCAGUGGUGUAGCCUGGACUGGAAUGUGACUCAGGCUCUCUGACUCCCAGUCCAAGGUUCUUUCCAGGGCUUCAGAAUUCCUGGACAGAAGAGGGACUAUUCCCAAGGGGAAUCUCUAACUCACCUUGGUGCUUCCAAUUCUGUGAUUUGGAUGCCCCCAGGGGAGAGAAAAGCCUUCCCUGGUAGGCACUGAGGUGAGGGUCAGGACCCAGAGGGCAGCGGGUGCUGUGGGCCUCAGGCCCACUCCUGGGCUCCCUGACUCCUGUGCAGCCAGCUUCUCAGUGGAGAAAGCACAGUCAGUGGGAAUACAGAAGUGGAAUAUUCUAGAGACACCACCAGCUUCAGGCAGCAGACCUGGCUUAAGUGUCUCCCUCCUAUGAGCUCAGAGUCCCUACCAACAAAGGACUGAGAUGGGGAGGAGAGCUCAUUAGACAGGUGCCCAGCAAUGGGCUGAGGGGUGGGGAGGGACCCAUGAACAGCAUCAUCAAGACUGAUCCUAAUAAAAAUGAAGAGCUGAUCCUUUGCCCCUCUAGCCUCCUGACCUACCUGGGUCCCGACACACCUGGAGUUGAUGCCUGCAAAUGUUGGGUUUACUCACCAAGGCUGUGAAGUUUGGAGGCAGGAAGGUGAUGUUAGUUGAGUGGCUGCUUGUGAGUAGUUCUGUGCUCUGUGUUUUACACAUGUCAUCUUACACAGUCCUCCAGUAACCCUGCCUGGCUAGGUUUCUUUCUCAUUUUAUCUUUAGGAAGCCAAGCAUGGCUCCUGAGGGUUAUAGGUGAGGGGGUUAAGGUUAGGGUUAGGUUUAAGCAAAACCUGCCCUCAUACAUUUUUAAAAAUUAGAAAAUUUUUUUUUGCCUUUUAGGCCCACACCUGUGGCAUAUGGAAGUUCCCAGACUAGGGGUCGAUUUGGAGCUGCAGCUGCUGGCCUACACAGCAGCCACAGCAAUGCCAGAUCUGAGCCAGGUCUGCAACCUGUGCCGAAGUUCACAGCAAUGCUGGAUCCUUAACCCACUGAGCUAGGCUAGGGAUCAGAUCCACAUCCUUGUGGAUACUAGUCAGGUUCUUACCCCCUGAGCCACAACGGGAACUCCUCUCAUACAUUCUUCCUACAUUUCUACGUUAGUUAGAUUCUUUAUUACUUUCUCUAUUUCACCCUAUGACACUCCCAUAACCUAAAUAGCUAAAUUUGAAUAUAUUAUGAUUUAUUUAUUGGGUUGUAAAAAUCAAUGGGUUUAGACUAAUGCAUAGUGGCAGGUAUCAUCCAUCACUAAAAUAUCACAUGGACUACUUCCCAUAACCUGUUUAUCAUCUCUGAUUUACCUGUUCUGGAAUGUCAUAUAAAUGGAAUCAUACAGUGUGUAGCCUUCUCCAACUGAAUUCCUUCACUUAGCAAUAUACAUGUAAGAUUCAUCCAUGUUUUUCCAUGAGUCGAUGGUUUAUUCCUUUCUAUUUUUGAAUAGUAUUGUAUUGCACAUAUAUGGGAGAAAAAAUAAUUUUUUUGCUAUCCUAGGUUCUUGAUUGAUUACCACCCCCAUAAUAAAAGACAUACAUAAUCAUACAGAGAAAUAGAUACAGUAUCUUUCUAAUAUUUUAGUCAUGAGUCAGUAAAACUAAUAAAAAAUUAUCUGUUUCUAUAAGAUUGUAGACUCUGAAUUGUGUUUCUGGCAGAUAGAACAAAAAAGAUUACUUGCCUAGUGAGAGUUAAAGUUUUUUACUAAUAUUUGUGGAGAAGAUUUUUAAGAUUUGCCCUGAUAUGUCAUCUUAUGAAGGCUGUGGACUAAAUUCUGGACAGAGGAAUUUUUGAAAUACCACGUGUCCAUCUUGGUGUUUUGUUUUAUUUUUGGGCUGCUGGCAUGGCAUGUGGAAGUUCCCAGUCCAGGGAUCAAACCUUCACCGUAGGAGGUUGCUAUUGUGACUCAGCAGUAAUGAACCCAACUAGUGUCCAUGAAGAUUUGGGUUCAAUGGCUGGCGUCUUUCAGUGGGUCAAGGAUCCAGCAUUGCCAUGAGCUUUGGUGUAGCUUGCAGACAGGGCUUGAAUCUGGCAUAGCUCUGGCUGUGGCAUAGGCCUGCAGCUGUAGCUCUGAUUUGACCCCUAGCCUGGGAACUUCCAAAUGCUGCAGGUGUGGCCCUAAAAAGCAAAAACAAACAAACACCUUGUGCCACAGCAGCAACCUGAGCCAAGCAAGGUUAAUGCCAGACCCUUAACAUGCUAGGCCACCAGGGGACUCCCAUCUUAUGUUCUUUUUUUUUUUUAGGGCCUCACCCUCGGCAUAUGGAGGUUCCCAGGCCAGGGGUCGAACUGAAGCUGUAGCCGCUGGCCUACAUCACAGCCACAGCAACCUGGGAUCCAAGCCGUGUCUGCCACCUACACCACAGCUCACAGCAACUCUGGAUCCUUAACCCGCUGAGCGAGGCCAGGGAUCGAACCUGCGCCCUCAUGGAUACUAGUCAGACUCAUUUCCACUGAGCCAUUACGGGAACUCCUUGCUUUUGUUUUUAACAGAUUUUACUGGCGUAUGGUUGACUUAAAAGUUGUGUUAGUUUCAGGUGUACAGAAACUAAAUCAGUUAUACAUAUACAUAUAUCCAUUCUUUUUCAGAUUCUUUUCCCAUAUAUGUUAUUACACAGUAUUGAGUAAGUUACCCUGUGAUAUACAGUAGGUAACAAGACCUAUCUUAACUAUUUGAUUUGAUUUUUUCUUUUCUGGCCACUCCAUAGCACAUGGAGUUCCUGGGCCAGGGAUCAUACCCAAGCCGGAACUCUUGACCAAUGCUCCAGCUUCGGCAAUGCUGGAUCCUUAACCCACUGUGCCAGGCUGGGGAUAGAGCCUGCAUCCUAGAACUGCAGAGAUAACCUGAUCCUGUUGUGUCACAGUGGGAACUCCUACCUAUUUUAUAGUUAGUGGUGUGUAUUUGUCAAUCCCAACCCCCUAAUUUAUCCCUCUUACCCACAUUUCCCCUUUGAUAACCAUAAAUUUGGUUUCAAAAUAAAGCUAAACUGAACUUCCCAUUGUGGCUUAGCGGUAAUCAAUCUGACUAGUAUCCAUGAGGUAUGUGGGUU
rnacentral:lncRNA from 1 species